rnacentral:rRNA from 1 species
ACAGUCACACAUUAGAUACCCCCGUAGUCCCAGCCCUAAACGAUGCGCGUUAGGUGUAUCGGUGACCACGAGUCACCGAGGUGCCGAAGGGAAACCGUGAAACGUGCCGCCUGGGAAGUACGGUCGCAAGGCUGAAACUUAAAGGAAUUGGCGGGGAGCACCACAACGGGUGGAGCCUGCGGUUUAAUUGGACUCAACGCCGGGAAGCUCACCGGAUAAGACAGCGGAAUGAUUGCCGGGCUGAAGACCCUGCAUGACCAGCUG